rnacentral:lncRNA from 1 species
CUUAGCUUUUAUCAAAGGAUCCAUCUGACUUUGCUGACAGCUCGAUGAUACCUCCAAUUACAACACAAGAAGGCUGGUCAGCAGUACAGUAUGCACACUAAACAUCAUCAGUUGGAUAUUCUAGCAUCCCACGGGAAAGCAUAACUUGUCUUCUUGGAGCUUUUUACCUUUCAGUUGUGGAGCAAUGUCUUCUUCAGUAGUGUAUGGGUCACAGCGAAAGCUUUCCAGUAAAUCAAUAGUACACUGUCCCACAAUGGGCUUUCGUCCAAAUGGUCUAUGGUCUAUCACUUUAAUAACAAGAGAGGGAGUGUACAACUCCUCUUUUGGCAAAAGCUAAAAGCAAAAGGUUAGAGUUGGAUUAUAAUAGACACAGAACAACAAUGAAUAACAAAGUUGCUUCUCCCCUAAACUAGAGCUAUUAGGUAAAUUAGUAUUAACCUAGUACAUUUUAAGAGAAGAGGGUGAACUAAAUUACUGACCACAUAAAAUGAUGCAGUAAAAGAUAAAAAGAAUUCUCCUCAUUGCCUCAAUCCAUAAAGAUACAAGAACACUCAACAACCCUCAUGUCAGCAAUAGAAAAGUAGUCAUGCUUCUAAAUGUAAACAGAUGUUUACUCAAGUACAUACACAGGUACACUACAUGUAUACCUUCACUACAUCCAUAAAGACAUAAAAAGAUGAAGGUAGAUGGAUUUCUCAUUCUUAGUAACUUUCUUAAGUUCAGCUAAAAAAGAAUGCGCAUGGUCAUCAAAACAUUCAUAUACAACAGAAUCCCAUGAAAAAUAGGCUGUAGCAAGUUUUGCUACUAUGAGUAAGUAUAUAGUAUGAAAAAACGUACAACUUUCAUAAACAGAACAGAAGAUGGAAAAUUGGGUGUCUUCUUAAGGUUUCGGAUGACCACAGAUUCCACCAUUUCACCCCCGCAUUCCACUAUGAGACUUGGUGACGUAACAGGAGCCAUUUGGUAGUUCUUCAUAUUCCGUAACCCCCAGGCAAGGAUCUGUAAAAUGCAGUCCAACAUAAACAAAAGACAGAGAAGAAAAGAAAGAACAAACAGACUGAGUAGGAUACUCAGAAAGUAAAAUAGAAAAAAUAGAAACUCAUCAGAAAAAAACUCC